ACUCGCUGAGCUAAACCAACUCUGCCAUCUGAGAAGAUACUUUGGCACGAUGAUGCUUGGUUCACCUUGGCACAAAGGUCAAGAGGACAAAGGCUCAGGAAUGAUGGGAAUUCAACUUGACCAUGAGAACAGCAUCAGAACAUUGCUGAAGAGACAAGCAAGUUCUCCACCAUUGAGGGCUUCAGUACACUUCUGCACAGCGAUCUGGAGAGGAAGAGAGGAUGUUCAAGAAGAACUUGUGCUGAAAAUGGACCAUAGCCUCAUGCAGAUACAUCCAGCCAUGGAUACACAUGAUUAUAGGCUAUCAAUACUAUGAGUUAACAAUAAGGUACUAGAGGCCAUGUUGUAUUGUGAAUAAGUCACGGCUAAAGGGCAUUGAUAGGCACGUUACCACACAAUCAAAAUAUUAAAAUAAAAAAUGUAUGUACUGUUGUGUUAGUUUUUUGAUGCAAGUUCGUUAAAUGCCAUCACGAACGCACACACAUCAACAUAUCUCCGCAUGAGAAGAGUUUAUUUGACUGGGGAGGGCGUGGUCUCAAAAUUAAAGAUAAAAGACGCAACAUAACGCCAGUAGGGUUCACUCACACUUCAUUAAAUAAAUAACAAGCAGUCAAUUCGGCCGAAAUGCGUAAUACAUGGAACAGUUUUGACGCUAUAUUAUUGAUUGUUUUCCAGAUAGCACACGCACAUCUGCAAGAUGUCAUUAAGGAUCACUUGAUCUGGAAAGCAUCUCCUGUGUAUGAACAUCUGACAGACGUCUGCAAGAUGUCAGUUUUGCAUACAUUCUAAAUCAUAAACAUCUUAAAGACAUAAUAUUUAACAUCUAAUAGAAAACGUCCUAUAGACGUAUUGCAGAUGAGCAAACACUCUAAAAAAUAUGUCUUCCAGAUGUAAAUGUAGACGUCAAAUAGACAUCUCCGUGAUGUAUGUGCGCUAUCAGGGUUAUGUUGCUAAGGGUGUUGCUCGGUGAUACACAGAACCUUUGGGUGAAGCUGUUAUAGCUGUGCUUUAUAGUGAAUAAAACAGCUGCUGACCAAUCAGAAUUGAGGACUGGAACCAUUUUAUAAUACGUACUAUAUCUUUUUUUAAAUCAUUUACCCCUCGCCAAGAAGCACUUCAUUUAACUUGCUCAACCUAACACGAUUAUGUCUGUUUGUUCAACAGGACAGACAUGUUCUAGCCAACUCCAUGCAAAGAAGCAAUGUUCGGUGGUCAAAAUCAACAUAAACAACACAAGAUGGAAUCAGGCAGAGACGAUUUUACAUAAAUGUGACCCUGGACCACAAACCCAGUCAUAAGUAGCAUAGGUAUAUUUGUAGCAAUAACCAACAAUACCCAACAUUGUAUGGGUCAAAAUUAUUGAUUUUUCUUUUCUGUUAAAAAUCAUUAGGAAAUUAAGUAAAGAUCAUGUUCCAUGAAGAUAUUUUGUAAAUUUCCUACCAUAAAUAUAUCAAAACUCAAUUUUUGAUCAGUAAUAUGCAUUGCUAAGGAUUUCAUUUAGACAACUUUAAGGCAGACUUUCUCAAUUUUUUUAUUUAUUUAUUUAUUUAUUUAUUUUUGCAUCCUUAAGAUUACAGAUUUUCAAACAGUUGUAUCUCGGCCAAAUAUUGUCAUAUCCUAAUGAACCAUACAUCAAAGCUCAUUUAUUCAGCUUUUAGAUGAUGUAUAAAUCUCAAUUUCAAAACAUUGACCCUUAUGACUGAUUUUGUGAUCCAGGGUCACAAAUGUUAUUAAUGCAGUACUCAAAAUGUUAUUUUAGUGUCACAAAGGAAACAGCUAUGAAUACUUGUUACACAUUUGUACGCAUAUUCUAUUUUUAUAUCUCUUUACAUUAUAUCAUAUAACAAAUGUCUAGACAAGCAGAUUGUGAGACUGUCAGGUGGAUUUGAGAUGAAUGAGUGUAGAUCUUAUCUUAAAUGUCAAACACGCUCAGUUGAUCUCCAUUCUCUAUUUUCAGUACACUAUCGCAGCAUUAACAAAGUUGCUGUGUUACUCUAAUUUGCAUUUAAUUGAGGGUUAAUGCCACUGUUCCUCUGGACAGAAGUCUUGUCUGCAGGCAAAUUCUCAAAUGCAAAGAUCUUGUCUGGAGUGAUUGUAUUUAAAUUGUACAAUACAUCAACCUUUGUCUUUUGUGCCACACCUGUGACAACUUCAACCUGUAAGGAAUGUAAAAACCACUUGGUUAUGGGAGCAAUGAUGAUUACAACAGAAAAACAGCAGCAUUUACAAUUCAC